AGCACAUGGGUGAGGGGGGGAUGACGCUAUACGUGAGGCACUUUAUUGUCUUCGAGACCUCAUGGAUUAUGCACAUCUCCUCACAUUUAACAUACACGUGAUAUACAUACCGAAUGUGCAUAUUGAAAGCGGGGAGAUGUGCAGCUGUAAAGAGUUCAUUGCUCAAGAGCUUCUGAAGACGUUAGUUUCAGCAGAAAUCACUGUUCAAGACACUGCUGCUGAACCACACACUGCACUUAGACUGUUACAGCACAAUAUCAGAUUUCUCCUUCAGAAUUCGAUUGGAGAACACUGUCUACAAGACAAAGUCAUGGUUCGCAAGAUUAAUUUGAGGAUUAAUCAAGAGUUGAUGUUCAUUCGUCGAUGUUUCACAUUUUUCCAGGAUUGGAUGUCCAAAUGCAUAACCAGCAGUGCUUUUUGAUUAAUUCACUUUGACUUCUAUCGAGUUUAUUACAUUAAAUAACUGUUUAAGUAUCUAUUACUUUUAUAAAUGGCCUAACAGGACAAGUUCUAAUAUUGAUAAAAGCUUUCA